AAGAAGAUAAGGGGUGAAAUUCUUUUGUUUAUUUUCUUUGCUGCCGAAAACUAAAAGAAGGGGGGCUAAAAGAAGAAGGGGAAGGGGCUGUUCGGCUAUGGGGGUUUAAUGCAUGUGUAAAUUUAUCAAGUGAAGAAUAGAUCGAGUAUCAACCGUGGGAAGGAAAAGAUCACUGAGUAGACAUCUGUCGUAUUUUGCACUGGGCGCAAACUCUUUCGCGAAUUAUCUGCUAGGCACCGGGUGCCGUGUAUCAACUGGACUAUACAAAAAGGUUUUAUGAACGAUCUAAGGAGGAUGGUUGUUAGGUACUCUAUUUUGAUUGCCGACGCAGCAUCCAACAACAACAAUCCCGAUCUCAAGUGUGGUGAUGUUUAAUUUUGUAAUGGCAUGUACCUAGGAUGUCUUUGGUUGUUAGUUGUUUUGGUGAAUGUGAUGUAAAUUGAGUUAUAAGUAUAUGUUUACGUUUGAAGCUAAAUGCUAGUAUUCGUUUUGACCAAAGGUUAAACAUGUGUAUGAAACUUAAAGUUU